AUCAAUCAAUCAAUCCACCCACCCACCCACCCACCCACGAGGGAGCAAAAGCCAUAGGAUCCUGUCUGUGGCAGAAGAGGUUUACCCAGAGAUGUUGUGGGAAUGAAAGCCCAUGGAAGGAAGAGAGCUGGGAAUUCCUGUUUUGAAGGAGAGAGAGCUGACUGCAACUCUUACAUGGACCCAGAGUGGGGCAACUAACACAGGAAACCUAUUGUACCUGGACAUACUUCAUCUUCCAUCUUCCAUUUUUCAUCUUGCAUACUGCAUAAAUACUGUGCUGUUGUUCUUGGAAAGCGAUGGAAAACAAUGACUACUGAACAAACCUCUUAGCUGUCUCCACAGAAUGCUGUUCUGCCAACUCCUUCUCCAGUUCCCUCUCUUUAGCCUCUUUCUGCCCAAUAGGACAGUCUUCAGGCACAGUGAAUAGUGACAAGGC